ACGCACGCUGGCGGCGUGCUUAACCCCUGCAAGUCGAACGGAAAGGCCCUGCUUUUGUGGGGUGCUCGAGUGGCGAACGGGGGGGUAACACGUGAGUAACCUGCCCUUGACUUUGGGAUAACUUCAGGAAACUGGGGCUAAUACCGGAUAGGAGCUCCUGCUGCAUGGUGGGGGGUGGAAAGUUUCGGCGGUUGGGGAUGGACUCGCGGCUUAUCAGCUUGUUGGUGGGGUAGUGGCUUACCAAGGCUUUGACGGGUAGCCGGCCUGAGAGGGUGACCGGCCACAUUGGGACUGAGAUACGGCCCAGACUCCUACGGGAGGCAGCAGUGGGGAAUAUUGCACAAUGGGCGGAAGCCUGAUGCAGCAACGCCGCGUGCGGGAUGACGGCCUUCGGGUUGUAAACCGCUUUCGCCUGUGACGAAGCGUGAGUGACGGUAAUGGGUAAAGAAGCACCGGCUAACUACGUG
rnacentral:rRNA from 1 species